rnacentral:rRNA from 1 species
UGAGGAACAUGACCUUCGGCGGGGGAUAGCCGGCCCAACGGCCGGGUAAUACCGCGUACGACCACUCGGGGACAUCCCCAGGUGGUGAAAGCAGCAAUGCGCCGAUGGAGUGCCUCGCGGCCUAUCAGCUAGUUGGUGUGGGUAAUGGCCCACCAAGGCGACGACGGGUAGCCGGCCUGAGAGGGUGACCGGCCACACUGGGACUGAGACGCGGCCCAGACUCCUACGGGAGCAG